rnacentral:rRNA from 1 species
GAUGAACGCUGGCGGCGUGCUUAACACAUGCAAGUCGAACGGACAGGUCAUGCUUUUGUUGGUUGCACGAGUGGCGAACGGGUGAGUAACACGUGUGUAACCCGCCCCUGUCUUUGGGAUAACUUUACGAAACUGGGGCUCAUACCCCAUAGGAGCUCUUGCUGCAUGGUGGGGAUUGGAAAGAUUCGGCGGUUGUGGAUCGACUCGAGGCUUAUCAGCUUGUUGGUGGGGUAGUGGCUUACAAAGGUUUCGACGGGUAGCCGGCCUGAGAGGGUGAACGGGCACAUUGGGACUGAGAUACGGCCCAGACGGCUACGGGACGCAGCAGUGGGGAACAUGGCAGAAUGGGCGGAAGCCUGAUGCAGCAACGUCGCGUGCGGAAUGACGGCCUUCGGGGUGAAAACCGCUGUCGCCUGUGACGAAGCGUGAGUGACGGUAACGGGUAAAGAAGCAACGGCUAACUACGUG